rnacentral:tRNA from 1 species
GGCGGGGUAGCUCAGUUGGUUAGAGCAGCGGAAUCAUAAUCCGAAGGUCGUGAGUUCAAGUCUCUCUCCCGCUACCA